AUGAACGCUGGCGGCGUGCCUAACACAUGCAAGUCGAACGGAGUCCAGCCUUUAAGACCUUCGGGUCAAAGAGGGGAAGACUGAGUGGCGGACGGGUGAGUAACACGUGGGCAACCUGGCUCAUAGAGGGGGAUAACAGAGAGAAAUUUCUGCUAAUACCGCAUAAGCACACACUGCCGCAUGGCAGAGGGUGAAAAGAGAAUCGCUAUGAGAUGGACCCGCGUCUGAUUAGCCAGUUGGCAGGGUAAGAGCCUACCAAAGCGACGAUCAGUAGCCGAUCUGAGAGGAUGAACGGCCACAUUGGGACUGAGACACGGCCCAAACUCCUACGGGAGGCAGCAGUGGGGGAUAUUGCACAAUGGGGGGAACCCUGAUGCAGCGACGCCGCGUGAGUGAAGAAGUAUUUCGGUAUGUAAAGCUCUAUCAGCAGGGAAGAUAAUGACAGUACCUGAAGAAGAAGCCCCGGCUAACUACGUG
rnacentral:rRNA from 1 species